rnacentral:rRNA from 1 species
UGGGGAAUAUUGCACAAUGGGCGCAAGCCUGAUGCAGCCAUGCCGCGUGUGUGAAGAAGGCCUUCGGGUUGUAAAGCACUUUCAGCGGGGAGGAAGGCGAUAAGGUUAAUAACCUUGUCGAUUGACGUUACCCGCAGAAGAAGCACCGGCUAACUCCGUGCCAGCAGCCGCGGUAAUACGGAGGGUGCAAGCGUUAAUCGGAAUUACUGGGCGUAAAGCGCACGCAGGCGGUCUGUCAAGUCGGAUGUGAAAUCCCCGGGCUCAACCUGGGAACUGCAUUCGAAACUGGCAGGCUAGAGUCUUGUAGAGGGGGGUAGAAUUCCAGGUGUAGCGGUGAAAUGCGUAGAGAUCUGGAGGAAUACCGGUGGCGAAGGCGGCCCCCUGGACGAAGACUGACGCUUAGGUGCGAAAGCGUGGGGAGCAAACAGG